AAAGCACAAGAGUAGAGAGGGAGGCCUGUGUCUUCCUUUCCUGAAACAGCUCAGGAUACACGAAUCCUGGUGCUUAGAAAUGACAAAACUGGCCCCUCUGCAAAGAAGUAACCCAGAGGUUGUGAAUGUCAUAGAUUAUUCUGUAUCCAUGUCCUAGGAAUUCUGAAGAAUGAUAAGCAUCUCUAUAUAAGACAGAAGCAGAAGAAACCAGUUGGCAAACAUUCUAACCUGGGCUAUUCUUUCAUUUGCAGGGUUUUUGCAGUGCCAGGUGUGGAUUGAGAUUCAGCCUUUGUAAGACUUACUCACUGAAAACAGGAAUUUGCUUGGUUCCAAGCGCUAAGCAGAAACCCUGCCUGGCCUGAGUUUCCUCAUCUCCCUCAUCAACAUGUGAAAAAGGGACCAGUGAAAUCAUGAGUGCAGGACAACUUCAGGAAGUGCAAAGCCCUUGGUGCAAGAACAAAGUGUGCUUUGUACACUUGCUGGUGCCAUUUGUGGCUGAGAAGAACUUUCUCGGAUUGCUUUGGAAUGAUGAAGAGUGUGUCUCUCAUCCAAGAACUGAAAUGAUACCUUCAGGUGAGUCCAGAGUCCAAAUCCUCAAAGGAGGGAUUUAGGAAAGCAUUUGAGAGGAUCAGGUUUAAACCAAACAAUCCCUUAAGAAGAAAUUCCAUUCAAGUUCUUUCUUUAAAACAGGAAAUUAAACAGAGUCAUUAUAAGGCAAACUCAAGAGAGUGGUAGCACCAUCCCUCCCAACUGUUAGUUGCAUGAAUUUCAUUUUGGGUCAUCUGUGAAUCGAAACUAUUUAAAUUUGACCCUAUUAACCACAGCUCUUUUAAAGUACAACCAUCAGAAUUCUAGGCAAAAUGCAUCCUUUUAGAAGCAUAUAAUAUAUCUGAAGUACAACUCUUUGCAUAAUUAUCAAGAUUUAAGUCUCCUGCAGUAUUAUUUUAAGUAUUUUAUUAAGUUCAUGGGCCUAUUCCC
rnacentral:lncRNA from 10 species